UACAGAGGGUGCGAGCGUUAAUCGGAAUUACUGGGCGUAAAGCGUGCGUAGACGGUUGCGUAAGUCAGAUGUGAAAGCCCCGGGCUCAACCUGGGAAUUGCAUUUGAGACUGCGUAGCUAGGGUGCGGAAGAGGGAAGCGGAAUUUCCGGUGUAGCGGUGAAAUGCGUAGAUAUCGGAAGGAACACCGGUGGCGAAAGCGGCGCGCUGGACCUCUUCUGACGCUGAGGCGCGAAAGCCAGGGGAGCGAACGGG
rnacentral:rRNA from 1 species